UUUUCCCUGCCGUGCGCGUCAGGACUUGGAAAAUAGUUGAACCAACAUUAUUGUAAUGGGAGCUGAAACUCCCUUGACAGUUCGCUGUUAAGGGGAGGCGCCCACCUGUGAAUCAGGGUUCAAGUAAUCAGUUCGACGGCAAUGCGCGGGGAUUUU
rfam:Omnitrophica WOR_2 bacterium RIFOXYB2_FTLL_45_11 rifoxyb2_full_scaffold_6051, whole genome shotgun sequence.